rnacentral:rRNA from 1 species
UGGGGAAUAUUGGACAAUGGGCGAAAGCCUGAUCCAGCCAUGCCGCGUGUGUGAAGAAGGUCUUCGGAUUGUAAAGCACUUUAAGUUGGGAGGAAGGGCAGUAAGCGAAUACCUUGCUGUUUUGACGUUACCGACAGAAUAAGCACCGGCUAACUCUGUGCCAGCAGCCGCGGUAAUACAGAGGGUGCAAGCGUUACUCGGAAUUACUGGGCGUAAAGCGCGCGUAGGUUGUUCGUUAAGUUGAAUGUGAAAGCCCCGGGCUCAACCUGGGGACUGCAUCCAAAACUGGCGAGCUAGAGUAGAGCAGAGGAUGGUGGAAUUUCCUGUGUAGCGGUGAAAUGCGUAGAUAUAGGAAGGAACACCAGUGGCGAAGGCGACCACCUGGGCUCAUACUGACACUGAGGUGAGAAAGCGUGGGGAGCAAACAGG